GUCUACAGCCAUACCACCCUGAACCAGAUCUCACCUGAUCUUGGAAGCUAAGCAAGGUUGGGCCUGGUUAGUACUUGGACGGGAGAUA
rnacentral:rRNA from 1 species